GACGAACGCUGGCGGCGUGCUUAACACAUGCAAGUCGAACGGAAAGGCCCUGCUUUUGUGGGGUGCUCGAGUGUCGAACGGGUGAGUAACACGUGAGUAACCUGCCCUUGACUUUGGGAUAACUUCAGUAAACUGGGGCUAAUACCGGAUAGGAGCUCCUGCUGCAUGGUGGGGGUUGGAAAGUUUCGGCGGUUGGGGAUGGACUCGCGGCUUAUCAGCUUGUUGGUGGGGUAUUGGCUUACCAAGGCUUUGACGGGUAGCCGGCCUGAGAGGGUGACCGGAGACAUUGGGACUGAGAGACGGCCCAGACUCCUACGGGAGGCAGCAGUGGGGAAUAUUGCACAAUGGGCGGAAGCGUGAUGCAGAAAAGCCGCGUGCGGGAUGACGGCCUUCGGGUUGUAAACCGCUUUCGCCUGUGACGAAGAGUGAGUGACGGUAAUGGGUAAAGAAGCACCGGCUAACUACGU
rnacentral:rRNA from 1 species